rnacentral:rRNA from 1 species
UACGGAGGGGGCUAGCGUUGUUCGGAAUUACUGGGCGUAAAGCGCACGUAGGCGGCUAUUCAAGUCAGAGGUGAAAGCCUGGAGCUCAACUCCAGAACUGCCUUUGAAACUAGAUGGCUAGAAUCAUGGAGAGGUCAGUGGAAUUCCGAGUGUAGAGGUGAAAUUCGUAGAUAUUCGGAAGAACACCAGUGGCGAAGGCGGCUGACUGGACAUGUAUUGACGCUGAGGUGCGAAAGCGUGGGGAGCAAACAGG